CCUACGGGUGGCAGCAGUGGGGAAUAUUGGGCAAUGGAGGCAACUCUGACCCAGCAAUGCCGCGUGAAUGAAGAAGGUCUUCGGAUUGGAAAGGUCUUUAAUCAGGGACGAAGAAGAUGACGGGACCGGAGGAAUAAGCCACGGCAAACUAUGGGCCAGCAGCCGCGGGAAUACAGAGGUGGCAAGCGUUGUCCGGAAUGACUGGGCGUAAAGGGAGCGUAGGCGGUCUGUGAAGUUGGAAGGGAAAUCCCGGGGCUCAACCCCGGAACUGCUUUCAAGACUGCCGGCCUUGAGUGUACGAGGGGUAAGCGGAAUUCCUCUUGUAGCUGUUGACUGCGUAGAUAUU
rnacentral:rRNA from 1 species